rnacentral:rRNA from 1 species
GCUUACGACCAUAUCACGUUGAAUGCACGCCAUCCCGUCCGAUCUGGCAAGUUAAGCAACGUUGAGUAUCAUUCGAACUCU